UUUCCACUAGUAGAAUAUGCUCCCGCAGUUUGUCGGUUAAAACCCGGGACACCCUGUAUAUAUAUGAAUCGCGCUUGAUAUUCCGCGAUCAAUUAUUUGCAUCUUACGCGUACGGAAUAGUCAACGAGCGCAGUACACGCGCGGUGCGCGCUCCGUGCGCGCAUAUUCCCAUGUACACACACGCGCAGCCAUGCACACAUCCAUGUACACGUAUUUCCAUGAAUUUGGCACUUCUUAUGCGAUAAAUUAUGUACAUAGAUUUAUACUAAUCGGGAAUGAAGCAUCUCGCACGGAGAAGUGACGAGCCAUUCGAUCGACAAUCGGAUCGCGCGCGAUAGAUGUAUCGGGCGUGCAUCAAAAUGUUUUAUACAAAUAACCGAAACGAGGAUUUAUUUAUACAUUGAGCUAUGUACAGUUGUCUUACAGCUCGCGCGCGCCGAAUCUCGUCGUCGUCGCAGCUGCUGAUCGUCGACGAUGAGCGUUAACGAGGAAGAAUCGCGCGGAUCUUCCGCGAUCGCCGCGAGCGGUGAGAAUUCGGCGCGCGCAGUGAAUUAAUAUUAAAAUUUAUAAACUUCUUCACUUCCCCUUGAGCACCGAAAAUCUUAUUUCUCUCGUGCAAUCCUUACGUAAACACUUGAUAUAAUAAUACAUUAAAGUAUAAGCAAUAAUACUUUCAACGUGUUUCACACGACUUUGCGUCGCGCCCACGGCCGCGCUUCCGUACGCCGGAUUUCAUCUUAUCGUCGAAGGAUCGCGCUCCUUGCGGAAUCCUUGCGAAUGGGACGCUCGUUACGGAUCGAUUCCUGGCAUCGUGCAAAAAAAGGGGACAUUCCGAUUCAUUGUUCCGCAUUUUAUCGCUCAUCGGUUGCAGCUUCAUCCUCGUCGUCGUCAUCUUCCACGUCCCUAAAGUCUUCGAAGAACUUCGAAGACGUAACUCUCCGUCGACUUCCCGCCGAUCACCUCAUUUUAGCACAACGGCGAACGCGAUGUUAACGUUGUAGACGCGCGUGGAGAGAUUCCGAUUGAUUGAAUUUUAGGUGCCGAUAGUUACGUGCAUCGCGUUUACGCGAUCCUUAGCCAGCCAAGUUCCACGACUUGGCGGAUACGAGCAACGUGAAGUAUUAUACGACGUCGGUCCCAGAUUUACAUACGAAAACACAUGAUACGCGCAGAGCGCGUGAUGCACGCGGCAGAUUGCGUUUUACAAGCAAGCUGUCGACGAUCACCACGAGCGCCUAUAAACAGCGACGUUACUCUCGGUUAUCAUCUCAAGCGAUUCAUCCCGCGUGCUACGUACACACCUCGCUCUCACGAAACUUCACCGUAAACUUUAAAGCGGUGCGACUAACAACCGGACCUCGCGCGGGCUUAAAAAGUCCGAUCGCGGUGGUACCAGCAUUGUAUUUUUAUCCUACCACUCGUACUUUCUUCCUUUUUUACCCCUUUUUUCUUCUUUUUCGUCGUUCUGAUUUUCUUUCAGAAAUCUUCUGGAGCACAAUUAAAUUUGGCAAGCAUGUAACAUGUUGAAUUUUCAAAAUACAUAUAAAAGUUUAAUACAUACAACGUUAUUGAAGAUGUGAUUGUGAUAAUUAUUAUGAUCGUUUUAUUCUAAUUUUUGUGAACAUUUGCGAUCGGUUGGUGCUCGUCCGCGCUUACGUGCGCGACGAGGCAAGACGUCGCUCGGCCACUGCGCGGUGCGUGACAGCGCAAUAAUACCGCGCGUACCAGCACGCGAUUUAAUAUCCAUGACAAAAUACUGAGUGCCGCGAAAUUUAUAGCGGGCAUUUCCCGAUAGUUGUCCCGAACGGAAUGACCGGGGCCGGCCAAUUUUGUCGUACCAAUCUGGCGAUUAUGAGUCGCCGCCGGCGGUAAAAGUGUGGACCGCGGCUCUCGCCGGACAGCCCCGCGGAUCCCUGUAAUCAGGGCAAUGGAUGCCCGUCUCUCUCACAAGGAAAGGUUUGUAGGCACGGAGUGGAAACGGCGAGUUGAAUCGGGGUCGGACAAUGUUUGGCCGGCGGGGUGCACGCGGCACGAUAACCGGCAAUACUUUCGCGGCCGUCAUCCUAUUAUGAAUGGGCCGUGUUAAACGAGGCGGGAAAAGCUCGCAA